rnacentral:rRNA from 1 species
UGUCUAGGUGGAAAGAUCAGUCAGAUGUGAAAUCCCAGGGCUCAACCCUGGAACUGCAUUUGAAACUGUCUUUCUAGAGGGUAGGCGGAGAAAACAGAAUUCUGCAAGUAGCGGUGAAAUGCGUAGAUAUGCAGAAGAAUACCGGUGGCGAAGGCGGUUUUCUAGCUUAUUCCUGACACUGAAGCACGAAAGCAAGGGGAGCAAACAGGAUUAGAUACCCUGGUAGUCC